CGCGGGUUUGCUGGAGAUAGUUCCAGUCUGGUCUCAUACGCCAUGCAGGUGGGUGCAAGUCCCACACCCGCAACCA
rnacentral:tRNA from 1 species